CUUGACCUGGAAUCAGAGAAAAACGGGGUGAAUGUUUUUGGAGUUUACUCCUUUAGAAUCGAUUUACAUAUAUAGGCCCGGGGUAUGAAAAUUAUGGGGACCAAAAUCGUACUAGCAUGUCACACGAAAUGCGUUAUGCGCCUGCGCCGGCAGUCCGCCACAAAGCCUCGUACUGAUCGCGCGUUUCUCUCAUUAUUGUAUUUUCAUAUAUUUGUUAGUCGUUUGUUUUGUGUCUCGUUAAUUUGUUAAUAAUCUGUAGUGUAUCGUGUUGUCGUAAUAUAGAACUAUUUCUCGUAUUGUUUCGUUUAAUUUUUUAUAUCCAGUAAACUCCAGUCGUGCGUCGGAGCGGACACACACACUUUUUUUUUUUUUUUUUUUUUGUUGGUAAGUUUAUUCGGAUAGUCGUGUUUAUGAGUGCUGGUAUAUUUUUAGUGUAUCGAUCCUUAAAAGGAUAAUGAGAGCAUAGGGUUAAUUUGUUGUUAGUCGAUCAGUGAGAUACUUAAAAGCGUUUUUACGGAAUCAUUUUAUGUGUAUCGGAGAUGAAAUUGGUAUUUUGAUCCUGGUCUACGGCGGAAAGGAAUCUCAAAAUUCUCAGUUGAAAUAAUCACUACAUAGUAUAAAACAAAGUCGCUUUCUCUGUCCCUAUGUAUGCUUUUAAAUCUUUAAAACUACGCAACGGAUUUUGAUGCGGUUUUUUUUAAUAGAUAGAGUGAUUGAAGAGGCAGGUUUAUAUGUAUAAUAACAUCCAUUAAAUAGUGGAGAAAUCAAUAAUAAAUUACAGUUUCCGAAGCGAAGCGAGGGCGGGUCGCUAGUCAAUAGAUAUAGUUGACGGCGUUAACGAUAUUUAUGUUAUAUAGCACGUGCAAUAGGAGUGACUCACACAAGCCAGGCGCGCCGGCCGUGUCGUUCCACUCGUAAACAACAGCUGCAACAGAAGUGACUCAUAAGCCAGCUGCGCCGGCUAGUAUAAAAAGGCGGAACGUGCCUUGAAAUGAACAUUCGUUGGACUGCGCUUGCCUGGUGCACUUACUAUAUCCUUGUUACGUUGUGUGAUUCAGUGACUGUUGUACGUACUGGUUAAAGUUGGACAAGUGUUAAAGUGAAUUGUUAAGAUAACAUAUUGUUGAUUAAAUCAGGAACCAAAAAGUGACAUCGUUUUACUUGGUGUUCAACAAGAUAAUAUCUACCCUCAAGCCUACAUCAGAAGUGAGAUCAGGACUCUACUCUCACUGGCGUAACGUGUUUGAACAUGUUCGAAGUACAGCAAAAAAAACAUGAUGCAGAUCAGAAUACUAGUAGUGGUACGCCACAAGAGCGUCAAUGCAGCAUACGUAAGUCGUGUAAUAACGUCUCUGUUACCUCGAUGGAAGAUCUGACCACGAAAAAAUCGUCACAUCUUACGUUCCCACUCAUGUUGCCCAGUUUGACUGUCGACUUCAUCACAUGGCAUUUACUAGCGGAAAUACAACACGUAACAAGCUAUUGCAAGAAAUUAAGGCAAGUGCAAAUCUCAAUGACGAGUGGGUAGUUCCGACAAGAGUUAUUUUAAGCGGCUGACUUCUGCUAGAGUUACAUGGCACUAGUGCAGUAAAACCAGGACAUGAGACUGUGAAUUGUCACUGAAAUUUUAGAAUCUACUAGAUUCAAUACCAAUAACAUUACACGUUCGAUGACUUCGGGCUCCAGCAAGCAAGCAAACAAGAAAGCAAGCAAGUUUCCGUGGGGAAGAAAAAUUGACACAUCUGAAGUCGUCGUGACCUGUAAGAUAAAACGUCCGGUGCGUUCGUGUCUGGCGAUGCGGCGGUGUUCGGGUCCCGCUGGCGGAUGCAGGUUUUUCCGGUGAAGUGCGUGCUUGUGCGUGCUUGACAAGUGUUCGCGGUUGGCUUCCUCAGUGUGGGAGUAACAUCGUGUAAGAGAGGUGGAACCCGUAAAAUUGUAGUUUGCGUGGUGGCUGGUAAGAUUUGUUGCGGUAAGAAGUUUGCAUGGUGGUAAAAUGUCUUGUGAGUCUGCACAGGUAGCCGGAGGUGAGACUUCCGCGGUCGCGGCCCACCCAGUCCGCGAGAACCGGGCAGAUCGCCUCGACGGUACGGAGGCCGGCUGACGGGUCCGCCAAACGACGAGACCACGCCUCCAGCACGGACUGCCGAUAUUGGAGCCCCCACGCUCCGGCUGCACUUGCGCUAGGGCGCGCCGCCUCGUAGGAGACUGUGAGCCUGCAAAACCUGAACAACCUCCUCAUCCGUGGGCGCCCGGCUCUCGCCUGCAAGUCGGCUGUUACGUGUGCGGUGAUGCGAGCCAUGUAGCUUCUGGGUGUUCCAUGCGCUACAAGAAGAAAAACGACACUGCUCCAGGUGCUGUGGCAGGUCCAACCAGAGACGUCAACGUGUGUUCCAGAGCUUCAGUGUGUUACAGAUAAGUGGUUUUGGCUUCCCCUUUAUGUUCCAUUCAGGGUCAGAAUGUAGUCUUAUAAAACAAAGUCAUAGUAAUUUAUUCAAUGGUAAGCGGUUUCAUGAACAAGUCACUCUUUGAUCUGAAAGUAACUUAGACCAAUCAUGAUGGCAAGAGCACUUAGGGGAUAUUCAACUCGCCCUUAAUAGUGCACGUUGUCGAGUAACAGGGUUUACUCCAAUAGAAUAGACGUUUGCCGUUCAGGGUAGUUCACUUGAAAUAUCUAAAGUUUCAACAGAGUGAUAAUCCCUCUAGAUUAGAUCUUGAUUUAGCACGGUCGAAGACCGGCGAAAACAUAAAAAAGGGCACAAACAGAAGCUUGGUUUAGUCGAGGCAAAGCUAAAGUCAAACUCUUUUCCGCUGAGGAUUUUGUUUUCGUAAGUUAACCGAAAAUGUAAAGGUUCCUUCAACAUUACUGCAGUUUUGGGAAACGAUAGGUAUAAAUUGAGACAUGUAAAUAGUUCUAAUAGAGUGUACAAAUUUCCCCAUGAAAACUUACGUGAAAUACCUCGAGGUCCGUCAGGCCUACUAGAAAUUUCUGAAAAUUAUAGUGACGAUGACGUGACGGCGUACACAGAUGGGUUAAUUAAUCUUGUUCAUGAAACUGAUCUUAAUGAUGACGACUCUAUCACUGACAAUAGAAGCGACAUUUUUGUCCGCAAAUAGCGAUACAGCAAACAUAGUCUGUGGGUAGUGAUACAAUGUCUGUAAGCUCAGGCACCUCAGGUGCAGGUGUUGGAAAUGUAGAAAACGAUGGUCGGUCUCGCACUAUUUCUGAAGAAAUUCCGUAUAAAUGUUCUAGUUUAAGAAAUGUUUUAACAAACGCUACCGUACACGCAGAUUAAAAAAAAAAAAGAAAAAAAAAAGAGAAUUGUAUGUGGCUAGAGAGAUGUUAAUCCGGACUAGCAAAAAAAAAAGAGGAAAAAAAAAAAAGAAAGUGUGAAGUCAUUGAAGGGUCUGUCCGGUCCAAUGGCUUGGCUAUAGGGAUUUUCAUCCAGAUUAGCCACAACAAUUAGCUACAGGGAUUGCGAUUCGGUCUAGCAUUAUCCGGUCCAGUUCGAAAAACUGAAGGGAUAACAAUUCCGGUCUAAGUUAAAAGGGACAUACUUACAGACCUGAAGAGUUUUAAAUGAACUGGCCCAGGUAUGUAAGCAGUCUGAAGGUUAUUUAUAGCCAGUAUAGGAUUUUCUGAAGAAUUAUGCGAACCGAACCGUACUAGAUUGUUAAUAUCAUAGACCACGUUUUAAGUUGCAUCCGUUAAUAUCAGGAUGAACGAACACGUUUAUUGUUCACAGACAUACCAUAAGAAUGCGCGCACGAGGACGAGCGCACGUCAGUAUGGCCGUGACGGCGUUAACGAUAUUUAUGUUAUAUAGCACGUGCAAUAGGAGUGACUCACACAAGCCAGGCGCGCCGGCCGUGUCGUUCCACUCGUAAACAACAGCUGCAACAGAAGUGACUCAUAAGCCAGCUGCGCCGGCUAGUAUAAAAAGGCGGAACGUGCCUUGAAAUGAACAUUCGUUGGACUGCGCUUGCCUGGUGCACUUACUAUAUCCUUGUUACGUUGUGUGAUUCAGUGACUGUUGUACGUACUGGUUAAAGUUGGACAAGUGUUAAAGUGAAUUGUUAAGAUAACAUAUUGUUGAUUAAAUCAGGAACCAAAAA